rnacentral:rRNA from 1 species
CCUACGGGAGGCAGCAGUAGGGAAUCUUCCACAAUGGACGAAAGUCUGAUGGAGCAACGCCGCGUGUGUGAUGAAGGGUUUCGGCUCGUAAAACACUGUUGUAAGAGAAGAAUGACAUUGAGAGUAACUGUUCAGUGUGUGACGGUAUCUUACCAGAAAGGAACGGCUAAAUACGUGCCAGCAGCCGCGGUAAUACGUAUGUUCCAAGCGUUAUCCGGAUUUAUUGGGCGUAAAGCGAGCGCAGACGGUUGAUUAAGUACGGAGUGCAAGCGCAUAGAUUAGCUGUGGAAGUGCUUUGGAAACUGGAUAACGUGAGUGCAGUAGAGGGGAGUGUGAGUCGAUGUGUAGCGGUGAAAUGCGUAGAGAUAUGGAAGAACCCCAGUGGCGAAGGCGGCUCUCUGGACUGUAACUGACGUUGAGGCUCGAAAGUGUGGGUAGCAAACAGGAUUAGAUACCCUGGUAGUC